UCCGCCCCUCCAACCAAUAGCUGCUGUGAUACCAGCCCAUUGGGGCGUGGUCUCUCUCCCUUUAAAAAAGCGGCUAUUUCCUCUGCUCGCUCUCUUCACUUCCUGCUCCGCCGGAGACUAGACUCCCUUCCUGGUUGUGCAGAUGGCUGUUGUCUGGGACGGUGAUCUCUUGUGUCAAGUGGACGGAAAACCAGCCAGCACAUGUUCCUAACACCACUGCCACCUUUCACGAGUCUCAGGAUGGGAGAGGUACAACGUGACCAGCUGCCUCCUGUCCCCGCCACCCUGACUGUCCUGCAAUGAUGGGCUGGAAAGUCAUCCUUCAUGCCUUAAGCUGCUCUCUGCCAGUUAUCUGAAGACAGCAAGGAGAAAGGCGACUACUGAGACUGUUCUUUACCCACAGGGAGGAGCUCCUCAUCCCACAGACGAGCUGCAAAUACACCUCACCCAUCACCUGCCUCUUCCACUGCACUCAAAGCUGACUUCAUACACAACAAGACCUCGUGAAUUUAGUCAACUUCUAAAACAGGACUGAAUUAGAAACUUAGGAAACUUCCUAAGUUAGUAAACGGAUUCAGAAAAUUAUUUUUGCAAAAAAUCCAUACAAUUCCAAUUUUGUGGGGUUUUUUUUCAUUUCCUUAGUUUUAUACUUUUGUGUACAUAAAGCUCUAUUGGUGGAUUCUUUAUUGGACGGGAAAUUCAAACAUUUUCACAUUACUCUCCCGAGUGAAAAUGUAAUAGAGCCUGACAACUUAACAUUAAUUUUUCCAUUUCCUGUACUUACAUAUUGUUACAAAUUAUGACGUAAAUUGCCUUGACUAAGAAAUAUUUUUAUUAUGACAAAAGUAAUGACUCCAAUCACUGCGGGGUUGCUUCUCUUGCUAUUUCAGAAAGCCGGUACAAAACUUUUUGAGCAAUCUUCUUUCUUAUAAAAAACAUUCUGAGCAAUGACCCCUUCCCCUCUCUGCUACGUUCUUUCAGGUUGUGGCUGAAGGCUUUGAGUUCAAUCUACCCUAAGUACACGUUCCAACACUGAGCUACAGCCCAGGCCUCAUCCAUUCUGAAGUAGUGAAGAAAAAUCCUGCUGUCUUACUAGAGUCAUGUUUAAGCUGAAAGCCAGCCAGUCUUCAUGAUUUCAAUACUAAACCUUAGUGCUUAAGAGCAGGGCACAGCUCAGUUCUAUUUCACAUCCACCACGAGUUCAACAACUGUCUCCUGUUCUACACUGUCAAAUAUGGUUUUAGCAUACAACAUGAAAGAAAUGACAAAUUAAUACAUUAUCUUUGUAUUUAGUCACAGAGCAAGUCUCAGUAAGAUUUAAGCUUAAUUCUUUAAGAACUGAACAAGUAAAAUAUUUGGGGUGAUGUUUUCUCCACAGGCACCUAAAUGAAAAGAAUUACUAGAGUUCCAUGUCAAAUAGUGGUCAAUAACCAGGAUGUUAUAGAAGACAAUAGAGAAAAAAAUCAAUGUAGAUAAGUUAAUAAAGGUUGAUAGCAUGUUAAACUCUUUAAAAGAAAGCCAAGAACCAUACUGGAACAAUGCUGGUAAAAACCUGCCAUUACCAGAUUGCUGUGAAUUACUGAAAUAACCUCUACACAGAGGAAAAGUUCUGGAAGACACGAAAUGGUAGGAAUGUACUUGUACUUGCAAACCUCACUUCUGAGUUGUAUAAACACAAAAAUAAAAUAUCCA